AGGGACAUAUCGAGCAAUAACGAUCAUAGGACAACCCUGCGCCAAUUUACCUCAAGGGGGAAUCAUAAAAUUGUCUGAAUUCACAAAUGUUGAAGUAAUAAACUUAAACCUCUGCAACUGUGGAUCCAUAAUUCUGAACUCUUUGUGCAUCGAGCAAGUCACUAUUAGCCUUCCCAAGGCCUCAAGCUGCACUUCUUGCAACGUCACCAACCAAGCUCCGACACAACCAAAUGUCAUCUGUCCUUAAUCUUCUCUCCUGCAGAAUAUCAUCGCAUAAGACAAGACCGCCGGCAGAUUUGAUGGAAAAAAAAGAGGACUUUCAUAACACCUAAGAAAGAUAUAGCGUUAUAUCAAACUAAAUGAAGAUUCAAGAUAAAAUUAUAUCAAUCAAACUAAAUGAAAACUAAAGAUAAAAUUAUAUCAAACUAAAUAAAGAAUCAAGAUAAAUAUAUAUAAAUAUUUGGGAAAAAAAUUGUAGCAAGCAUAAGAGGCAGCAAGAAUAUCAACAGCGCUGACAAGUAAACAAAAGCACACAGACACAAGCACUAAAGAGUAUUGUAGUUUUUAUCAAGAGCCAAAGAUUUCCUGGUUUGGGUUUUCCGUUUCUUCCAACCGUAACCACCAUCAAUCAUUAUAGUUCCCUUGCCAAUUCUCGAGUAAAAUCAUAUCGAUUUCAGAACUAAAAUUCGAAACUUCCUGAAACCUCGACUCACCAUUGCAUUUAAUUAUGGACUUAAGGUACGAUUUAAACUACACAUUCAUGACACCCCAUUUAUUUAUGAUCUGCCUAUUUAUGUUGAAUGCCUUUGAUUUGACUUCUGUUACUUAACGGUAAAAAAAAGUUUAAUCCUUUUUCAUGAGUCUGUUUCUUUGUCAAACUUUACAAAAUUUGGAAAAUUUCAAAUAUAAGUUUCUUGACAACCCUGGCAAGUUGCAGGAUAUACACCAUGCAUUUGGGACUAUAAAAUAACACCAAAGAAAUGUACAGUGCAUGGACAAAGCCGUCAAUUAGGUAGAGCAUUCUUUGAUAGAUCAGAAAGCACAAAAAAACAUUAGGACGGUUAGUGGUGAUGGAAAAUCCUGUGGAUAACACCACCAAUCUGAAGUUUUAGUGUAAAUUUUGGGAUAAGACUUAAGCGACUGAAAAGGUCAAAAUCAUUUCAACUCUGCCUUUCUGAAUAUGCUUGGAUGCAAAUCAACUUAGGAGAAAAAUCUAAAGAGACUGCACUGCAACCAGUAAGCAACUUGAUAAAAGGGGCUAACUAUUGAGCAAUAAGCUAACAGCCAUCAACAUCGUUCCUUCUCUAAAUUCUUUCUUCUUCAAAAUACUGCAAAACAUCAGCGCCAGGACAACCCACCAGGAAAGCUCUGUUAAUAAAAGUACUACAAAAUGAAAGGCCUGAAAUGCUUGGGUUAUAUGGUCGUUCAUGAACUUGAAGCAGGAAAUGUGGUUUGUUAACAAUAUGAAAAGUCUUGGAGAAGAGACACUGAAAGAGGAAGCAAUAUGCAAUUCUGCAAAGCUGCAUGAAAAUAUUGUGUCUUAUAUUACGAGGUGAUAAGAAAAUACAAAGGCACGACAAGCUUCCAAUCGUGAGACUUCCUCGUACAGAGCCUAUAUUUAUUAGUACAGUCGCUUUAUCAAAAGGUCAAUGUAUAACUGCUGGCGUGUUACAAUCAAUAUUCUGUUCGCAAGAGACUUUGAGCAAAUCAAUAAAUCAAAAUUCAAAAAAUGAAUCUAAGGAGCUUCAAGAAACCUCAUCCUGCUUCUUUUCACAUCAUUAACCAGAUACUCUCAACCAAUACAAAGAAGUAUCUCUUUUUGUGUUCUUUUAUUGAUGGUGGUGGGAAAUUAUGCACCAACUUAUCUGUUCAAAUUACUGAUCUUCUUACAAGAUUUUUUUUCUUUCUCUGCGCUUUGGUACUGUUCUUCAGUUUGUUUUCCUAGCAACUGUAAUGUAAACACGUGAUCCACAAGAAGAUGAAAUCCUCCAUGCUACUAAUAGAAAAGAAAUUUUGUUAGUUAUUCGCUACUUCAUUCAAGCAAUGAAAGUAAAACUGAGAAUCUCGUCUUGUAGUGGACCAUUGUAAAUUGCAAAAGGAAAAUGGUGGUGGGAAUAUAAUAAUUUUUCUUCAGUCAUUAUUAGCAAAUGUAUUUACACAUAUCACUGGUUUGUUUGAAGUGCAAAACUAUGUUCUGUUAACGCUACCCCCAACCUAGCACAUUCAAAGGUACCAACAUUGAAAGGCAAACUUCUAUACACCGAAGGCCAUUUGGAAAAUAGUGGGUAAAAUAUACGGAAGGUAUUGUCAUUAUUUACAAUACAUUUAUCAAUUUUCAUGUUUGACACGGGAAAUGUAAAUUGAAGUCCUACAAGGGUACUGCAAAAGCAGUUUUCUUCAAAAAUAUCUUUUCAUGUUCAUUAAACUACUUUGAUGUAGUCAGAGUAACACCAUUGAAAGCUGGAAUAAAUUUGUCCUUUACAGUCACAGUGAGGCUUUACUCUCAUUCAGUUAAUAUAAGAUCUUUCAGCUUCAAAUUAAGAUUUUUGUGAAGGUAGUCUUAUUUUAUUAAGUAAACUGGACAAAGUCAUCCCACGACUUAAGGAUGUUACUUUAGGAGAACCAUAUUGUAACCAGCCAUGGCCUUGAGGGAGGCUUUCAACCUUCCGCUUAACAGGUCAAACGUCAGCACCAAGUUAUGGCUUUGUGGGGGAAGAUGACUAAUGUGAAAUGUGACGUUGCCUUUCUUGCAUUGCUCUGACAUGCCCCAUACUGCAAUGUUACUGGAACAGUUUGCAUCCUGUAUCGUGUGCCUGACACUAACACCUGUACUAAUUAAGAUGAAGGACCCUGAUUUGGUACCUAUGGCGGUGUUGCUUUGAAGUUGUUAGUGGCCAAAUAAAUAAAAGGCAAAUAUCAAACUUCUCAUACGAAUGCCAAUUGUUCUGAGCACGCAAUUUCACACAUUGAAUUUAGUUUAACAUAGAAAAAGCAUAAAUAAGGAUGUUUUACUCUGAUAUAUUUGAUUUAGAAUAACCUUUCCAAAAAAUAAAUGGAUUUCAAAUCAAAUUUGUGUCUUCUUUUCCUUGAUGGAAUACCGACGCCAUCCUUUUUACUCCAAACAUUCGAUUGUUCUUUGUUCAUUUUCAUGGAAUGGCUCUCACCGCCUUCUGUUUAGCAUUGUCCGAUGGCUUUGACAUUUCCUACAUUCAGUUCAAGAAA